UACGUAGGGUGCAAGCGUUAUCCGGAUUCACUGGGUUUAAAGGGUGCGUAGGCGGGUAGGUAAGUCCGUGGUGAAAUCCCUAAGCUUAACUUAGGAACUGCCGAGGAUACUAUCUAUCUUGAAUACUGUGGAGGUGAGCGGAAUAUGUCAUGUAGCGGUGAAAUGCUUAGAUAUGACAUAGAACGCCAAUUGCGAAGGCAGCUCACUACGCAGUCAUUGACGCUGAGGCACGAAAGCGUGGGGAGCAAACAGG
rnacentral:rRNA from 1 species